rnacentral:piRNA from 1 species
UGGGAUUUUGGUACAUGGCACUGUGGGAC